UAACGCGUGAGCAACCUGCCUUUGUGAGGGGAAUAACGUCUGGAAACGGACGCUAAUACCGCAUAACACAUACGAAUCGCAUGUUUUGUAUGUCAAAGAUUUAUCGCACAAAGAUGGGCUCGCGUCUGAUUAGAUAGUUGGUGAGGUAACGGCUCACCAAGUCAACGAUCAGUAGCCGGACUGAGAGGUUGAACGGCCACAUUGGAACUGAGAUACGGUCCAGACUCCUACGGGAGGCAGCAG
rnacentral:rRNA from 1 species